UGGGGAAUAUUGGACAAUGGGCGCAAGCCUGAUCCAGCAACGCCGCGUGGAGGACGAAGGUCUUCGGAUCGUAAACUCCUGUCAGACGGGACGAAGACAGCGGGGUAAAUAGCCCUGCUGUUUGACGGUACUGUCAGAGGAAGCCCCGGCUAACUCCGUGCCAGCAGCCGCGGUAAUACGAGGGGGGCAAAUGUUGUUCGGAAUCACUGGGCGUAAAGGGAGCGUAGGCGGGUUUUUAAGUUGGAUGUUUAACCCCGGGGCCCAACCCCGGAUCGGCAUCCAAAACUGGGAAUCUUGAAUAGGGGAGAGGUCAGUGGAAUUGGAGGUGUAGCGGUGGAAUGCGUAGAGAUCUCCAAGAACACCAGUUGCGAAGGCGGCUGACUGGACCCAUAUUGACGCUGAGGCUCGAAAGCAUGGGGAGCAAA
rnacentral:rRNA from 1 species